ACGGCCAUACCAUGCUGAAUAUACCGGUUCUCGUUCGAUCACCGAAGUCAAGCACCAUCGGGCGCGGUCAGUACUUGGGAAGGUGACCACCUGGGAACACCACCUGACG
rnacentral:rRNA from 1 species